GAUGAACGCUGGCGGCGUGCCUAAUACAUGCAAGUCGAGCGAACAGAUGAGGAGCUUGCUCCUCUGACGUUAGCGGCGGACGGGUGAGUAACACGUGGAUAACCUACCUAUAAGACUGGGAUAACUUCGGGAAACCGGAGCUAAUACCGGAUAAUAUAUUGAACCGCAUGGUUCAAUAGUGAAAGACGGUUUUGCUGUCACUUAUAGAUGGAUCCGCGCCGCAUUAGCUAGUUGGUAAGGUAACGGCUUACCAAGGCAACGAUGCGUAGCCGACCUGAGAGGGUGAUCGGCCACACUGGAAUUGAGACACGGUCCAGACUCCUACGGGAGGCAGGAGUAGGGAAUCGUCCGCAAUGGGAGAAAGCCUGACGGAGCCACGCCGAGUGAGUGAUGAAGGUCUUCGGAUCGUAAAACUCUGUUAUUAGGGAAGAACAAAUGUGUAAGUAACUAUGCACGUCUUGACGGUACCUAAUCAGAAAGCAACGGCUAACUACGUG
rnacentral:rRNA from 1 species